GACCCUUAACUUGUUGGACACCUCGGUAUGUUCCCUUGUUAGUGAAGUGUUCAUAGCCUGCUUCUGACGCCUCGAAGAAGGACCAAAUCAACCCCCCUCCUCCCCCAACCACACCCGGCCUACAAGUGGCAGCGGAAGCGUGGGGCCAGAUGGACAAUGUCCCCACAGCUACUCGAUGUCUGCAUCAUCUGCCCAUGUUAUACAAACCACUCUCGCCCCUCCUACUAUAAUGUUAAUAUCCCCACAUGUCCCUACCUUCGGCGGCCACUGUUGGCGGUCCUAAUAUGUGAAUACGCAAUUCUUCCCUUCCGCCGCUCUGAACAAGAACAAGAGUUUGAAACGUUGGCAAAGAACUCCCCUCCCCCCACGCCAGGCCAACAAUGUAACAACUAUGGCUAAAAAGUGAGUCUUUUUCCCAUAUUAUAUUACUAACUACGUACAUUUUCCGGUGU